rnacentral:rRNA from 1 species
AUUGAACGCUGGCGGAAUGCUUUACACAUGCAAGUCGGGCGGCAGCACGGGGGCAACCCUGGUGGCGAGCGGCGAACGGGUGAGUAACACAUCGGAACGUACCCUGUCGUGGGGGAUAACACAUCGAAAGAUGUGCUAAUACCGCAUACGACCCGAGGGUGAAAGCGGGGGAUCGCAAGACCUCGCGCGACUGGAGCGGCCGAUGUCGGAUUAGCUAGUUGGUAGGGUAAAGGCCUACAAAGGCGACGAUCCGGAGCGGGUCUGAGAGGACGGCCCGCCACACUGGGACUGAGACACGGCCCAGACUCCUACGGGAGGCAGCAGUGGGGAAUUUUGGACAAUGGGGGCAACCCUGAUCCAGCCAUUCCGCGUGAGUGAAGAAGGCCUUCGGGUUGUAAAGCUCUUUCGGCAGGAACGAAACGGUGGAGGCUAAUACCUUUCAUCAAUGACGGUACCUGAAGAAGAAGCACCGGCUAACUACGUGCCAGCAGCCGCAGUAAUAC